rnacentral:rRNA from 1 species
GGCAACCUGCCUGCAAGACCGGGAUAACCCACGGAAACGUGAGCUAAUACCGGAUAUCUCAUUUCCUCUCCUGGGGGAAUGACGAAAGACGGAGCAAUCUGUCACUUGCGGAUGGGCCUGCGGCGCAUUAGCUAGUUGGUGAGGUAACGGCUCACCAAGGCGACGAUGCGUAGCCGACCUGAGAGGGUGAACGGCCACACUGGGACUGAGACACGGCCCAGACUCCUACGGGAGGCAGCAGUAUGGAAUCUUCCGCAAUGGGCGAAAGCCUGACGGAGCAACGCCGCGUGAGUGAUGAAGUUUUCGGAUCGUAAAGCUCUGUUGCCAGGGAAGAACGUCCGAUAGAGUAACUGCUAUCGGAGUGACGGUACCUGAGAAGAAAGCCCCGGCUAACUACGUGCCAGCAGCCGCGGUAAUACGUAGGGGGCAAGCGUUGUCCGGAAUUAUUGGGCGUAAAGCGCGCGCAGGCGGUCAUUUAAGUCUGGUGUUUAAGGCCAAGGCUCAACCUUGGUUCGCACUGGAAACUGGGUGACUUGAGUGCAGAAGAGGAGAGUGGAAUUCCACGUGUAGCGGUGAAAUGCGUAGAUAUGUGGAGGAACACCAGUGGCGAAGGCGACUCUCUGGGCUGUAACUGACGCUGAGGCGCGAAAGCGUGGGGAGCAAACAGGAUUAGAUACCCU